rnacentral:lncRNA from 1 species
CUGCUGCAUUGGAAGAAACCCUUGCUUUGACAGAAUAUUGUCCUUGGUGCUAUGCUGAAUACAACCCUUUGUAAUUAUGAUUAAGAUGGAAGCAGGGAGAGGAAAGGGACAGACACAAGCCUGGAACAACCAAAAAACAUUAGAGGAAAUCCGUUUCUGCAAAAUGUGAAGAAGUCUCCGGCAUUUUAAAGAUGAAUGUACAGAAUUUUAUAAGGAAGAACUCUCUGCUUUAGACAUUUGCUGCCUCAGCUAUGUUUCUUUUUUUAAAUAAAACUCAGCAUGGGGCUUUCUAUCCCGGCAAACAGCUGUUUUUAACACCAUUUUUAAAAUAUUGGUCCUAGGAUUUGUUAUUUGUCAAGGGAUUUGUCUUGGAUUUGCCGUUGUGCACAACGAUGAAAGAGGAUCAGGUGGUCCACGACAAUGGCGAUUAGAUGAAAUUUUGAAGCCUUAUGAUAUAGUUUAUGUGGAUGAUGAAGGCAGCACUACCAUUGACAAUGGCACAUCCGUAGACUGUGGUCCUAAUUCUGUUUCAUAUAAUAAAUCCAGCUGUGUCUGUGAAGAAGGAUACAGGGAAACGACAACUUUGGGAACCAAUCAAACCAGUUGUGAGAAAAUUCCCUACCACUGCCAACCAGAUAUUGUAAGACAAAAUGAUGGUCUAGGGGUGUGUUUCAAUGCAACAAAACCAGAGAAUUACUUCAGUCAUAACAACAGUUUAUACUGCUCAGUGGUAGGGACAGCCUUCAAUGCUUUUUUAUCCUUCUGUGAAAAUGGCAGUGUGAUACCAACUUCCUUGCAGGUAAGGCUUCCCAAGAACUGAGGCAACAUUUGGCCACAGCAUCUCCUUCCUGAGAAGUUCUGUGCCUUCCUGUUUGCAAGACUGUGUGGUUUCCUACUGUGGUCAGUGAAAGAUGGGUGGAUCUAUGACAGUUUACAC